rnacentral:pre_miRNA from 1 species
AAAAAUCAAAACGGUAUGUUUUGCUUUGCCCGACGUUUCGGCUAAAAGAGCCGAAACGUCGGGCAAAGCAAAACAUACCGUUUUGAUUUUUU